rnacentral:rRNA from 1 species
UACGUAGGGUGCAAGCGUUGUCCGGAAUUAUUGGGCGUAAAGAGCUUGUAGGCGGUUUGUCGCGUCUGCUGUGAAAUUUCGGGGCUCAACUCCGAACUUGCAGUGGGUACGGGCAGACUAGAGUGUGGUAGGGGAGACUGGAAUUCCUGGUGUAGCGGUGAAAUGCGCAGAUAUCAGGAGGAACACCGGUGGCGAAGGCGGCUUCCUGGACCGACACUGACGCUGAGGCGCGAAAGCUAGGGGAGCAAACGGG